UCCGAAGACCGUUACCAGUUU
rnacentral:piRNA from 1 species